rnacentral:rRNA from 1 species
GAUAAACGCUGGCGGCGUGCAUGAGACAUGCAAGUCGAACGAACGAGCUUGCUCGUUAGUGGCGGACGGCUGAGUAACGCGUAGGUGACCUACCCCGAAGUGGGGGAUAACUGCCCGAAAGGGUGGCUAAUACCGCAUGUGGCGACGCUUUCAUUGGCGUCAUCAAAGCCGCGAGGCGCUUCGGGAGGGGCCUGCGUCCGAUUAGCUCGUUGGUGGGGUAAUGGCUCACCAAGGCGACGAUCGGUAGGUGGUCUGAGAGGACGAUCACCCAGACUGGGACUGAGACACGGCCCAGACUCCUACGGGAGGCAGCAGUCGGGAAUUUUGCGCAAUGGACGAAAGUCUGACGCAGCAACGCCGCGUGCGGGAUGAAGGCCUUCGGGUUGUAAACCGCUUUUACCAGGGACGAUAAUGACGGUACCUGAUGAAUAAGUCACGGCUAACUACGUGCCAGCAGCCGCCGCGG